rnacentral:miRNA from 1 species
UAUUAGGUUGAUGCAAAACUAAUUGUGUGUUUGCGGUCAGUAAUAUAAACAGCAAAAAUCUCAAUUACUUUUGCACCAACCUAAUA